UAAAAGGGUCGGUUGGCUAUGUAUGCCACGCCCACCCCUUGUGUUGGUGGGUGCUGUAUGGCUAUCAAGACAUAUGGCCGACAUAAUUUGUGGAACUAUCUAUAGGGUUGGCUCGCUCGGCCGACCCUCCA
rnacentral:snRNA from 1 species